CCUAUAGGUCUGUUCCAUUCUCGACACACGUGAUAUUAGCAGCACGGUACAUUUAAGGACACGGCUCGAUUCUUUAAUCACAGGGCAUCCUGUCUUCUCCACAUUGCUUGGGACCCCAAAAAUUGAAGUUCUGUCAUGUCUCUAGACCACCACAAAACACAUAAAAGUCACUUAGGAAAACAUGGUAGGAACAGGACAGUGGGUAAAUACAUCGUAGUCUGUUCAUCCAAUGGAAUAUUACUCAGCAGUAAGAAGGAAUGUUCUUCAGCAUAAUAGAAAAUACCCCAGCCUGGUACACAGCUUCAUACUUUAUGGUAACACGCGGAGAUUCUCACUGAAGAAAAGAUGAGGCAAGAAAAGAUGAUGAAGAAAAGAUGAGGCAAGAAAAGAUGGUGUCUGCACGCUGUCAGACAUCACCACUGUUUAACAUUUCCUGAAAGCUCUUCAAACACAGUGAAACAGAAAAAGAAAUGCGAUCUAAAUAGGAAAAAUUACAACAUUCCUUGUUAAUGACAUGAUUUUCUAUCUGAGAAAAAAGACAGCAAGAAAAUCAACUUAAAACAACUAGAACUUUUAAAAAGCUGGCAAAAUGACUGGUAAUAAAAUACAUAUGCAAAAAGAAAUUGUGUAGCCAACAUAUCAGUUGUGACUAGCUAGAAAAUUGUAAUAAAAAUAUUCUCAUUGUGAUCACAAUAAAAUUUAAAGCACAUGGGCAUUUUUAAAUAUCCAUAAUUUAGAUGAAGAGCAAGAAAAUUUUGAUAAGUAGAGAAACAUACCAUCUUCUGAAAGGAUGUAUAUUAUAAAGAUAGCAAUAUUAUAAUGACAGCGAUUCUUCUCUAAUUAAAUUUAUUUUAUUUUGAAUCAAAAUGAAAGUGUUAUUUGGGGAGGAAAUUUGGCACAAUUGUUAUAAAGUUACAUUGGAAGAUUAAUCAGAUGAGAAUAGCAAAGAUAAUUUUCAAAAAGAAGAAAAAUGGUGGGAUUUGUUCUACCAGAUACUGAAAUAUAUUAUAAAGCUGAAACUAUUAAAAUAUGAUAAUAUCAGAGAAGGAACAGGUAGAUCAAUGGAACAAAAUAGAAAUCCCAGGUACAAAUACCAUCUUGGUUCAUAACAAAGGGAGCAUAUUGAAUAGAGAGGUAAUGAAUCAUUAAAU
rnacentral:lncRNA from 1 species